CCAAUAGCGUAUAUUAAAGUUGUUGCAGUUAAAAAGCUCGUAGUUGAACUUCGGGGUUUACCCAUUGGUCAGGCUUAAUUGUCUGUACUGGUGAGAUAAAUCUCUACCUUCUGAGGAACUUUUAUGCCAUUUAUUUGGUGUGAUGGGAAAUCAGAACUAUUACUUUGAAAAAAUUAGAGUGUUUAAAGCAGGCUAACGUCUGAAUACAUUAGCAUGGAAUAAUGAAAUAGGACGGACUGAUUCUAUUUCGUUGGUUUCUAGGAUCACCGUAAUGAUUAAUAGGGAUAGUUGGGGGCAUUAGUAUUCAAUUGUCAGAGGUGAAAUUCUUGGAUUUAUUGAAGACUAACUACUGCGAAAGCAUUUGCCAAGGAUGUUUUCACUAAUCAAGAACGAAAGUUAGGGGAUCGAAGACGAUCAGAUACCGUCGUAGUCUUAACCAUAAACUAUGCCGACUAGGAAUCGGAUGAAUUUAAUUUUUUUAAUGACUCAUUCGGCGCCUUACG
rnacentral:rRNA from 1 species